AGAGAAGUAAUUUAAAAAAAAUAUUUAUUUUGCAUAUAAAAAUUACAAAAACAGUCUUCUUUA
rnacentral:tRNA from 1 species